GGCCAUGGAGCAAAGCUCCGUCGGACCUUCCCAACCAGAUCAACGAUGACGACGAGCGGAUCAGCCAGCCCUUCCGCCCUAGUUAUAUGAAGAACCUGAUUGGUGAAGCUAAUUAUGAAAUCUGCCAGGAAAGGUUCAGCACCACUGCAAAUGAUUAUUCUUAUAUGUUGCAUUACACUAGCAUGAGUACAACAGAAGGGAAGUGGCAGAGAGGGAAUGACAAAGGCAGGCCUAAGAAUGGUCCUUACAUUCUUCUAUCUCCUAUUUAUUGCAUG